CCUACGGGGUGCAGCAGUGGGGAAUAUUGGACAAUGGGCGAAAGCCUGAUCCAGCCAUGCCGCGUGUGUGAAGAAGGCCUUCGGGUUGUAAAGCACUUUCAGUGGGGAAGAAAGCCUUGGGGCUAAUACCCUCGAGGAAGGACAUCACCCACAGAAGAAGCACCGGCUAACUCCGUGCCAGCAGCCGCGGUAAUACGGAGGGUGCGAGCGUUAAUCGGAAUUACUGGGCGUAAAGCGCGCGUAGGCGGUCUGAUAAGCCGGUUGUGAAAGCCCCGGGCUCAACCUGGGAACGGCAUCCGGAACUGUCAGGCUAGAGUGCAGGAGAGGAAGGUAGAAUUCCCGGUGUAGCGGUGAAAUGCGUAGAGAUCGGGAGGAAUACCAGUGGCGAAGGCGGACUUCUGGACUGACACUGACGCUGAGGUGCGAAAGCGUGGGUAGCAAACAGGAUUAGAUACCCCUGUAGUC
rnacentral:rRNA from 1 species